AGGGAAAUAAAACCCCACACGCUUUUAGUCCGUGUCACUGCAGGGGCAUCUGAGCAACCCGUAACGUGUGCGCUGACACGGUUUCACGUGAGGGAGCCCCGUCCUCUUCAGCCUCACAGGAGAGGCCAUUGGGUCUGGCCAAGGCAAAUAGGUGUGGUGGUUCUGUAACAAGUAUAUUUCUGGAACUAUUACACAGGAAUAAGGGUAGUUCAUCUCAACCAGUUCUCAUCCAUCGGCUGCACCAUUGAUCUAUUGAAACCUACUGAAAUGGCUGCACAUUCUUUUUUCUUCAAUAGUACUUAGACAUUACAGCUAAGUGUUUUCUCAGGAUACCAAGAUACAGGUACGACAGCAAUAUGAAUUGUGUAUGUGUGACAGAUGGGUAGGCAGGCAAAUAAAGACAGGAAUGUUCUCA
rnacentral:lncRNA from 1 species